AUUGACCCGAUUUCAGGUCUUAUGUGUUUGCGAGAGGACGAUCUAUGAGAUUUGAGGAGGAUCGUGGGCAUCGGAAGCAAAUCAGAGGAUGAGGCGACGACGAGCAUGCAGAGGAAUUAUCCGAGGAGUUUGGCAAAUUUUGGACUAAAGACGCAAAUUCGAACAUAAAGUGACACGCUUUUCAGGUGGAAAUUGAUGUAGCGGUCGAGGCGAAGGCACACGGGGCUGUUGGCUAUAGAGAGUUCCAACACAUUUAAGUCGAGUUUCUUUGUACCUACCUUUAAAUCCAACCUUUCAUGUAUUUUAAAUAGUUGUCCGAAAGAUGUUGUAUCUUAGUGGUCUUUUCUCUUUUCUUUAUAAAAACAAAAUUUUCAUUACUA